rnacentral:rRNA from 1 species
CCGGAAAUCGUCGACCGGGGGCGACAGCAAUAUGAAGGUCAGGCUGAAGACCUUACCCGAUUAGCUGAGAGGUGGUGCAUGGCCGUCGUCAGUUCGUACUGUGAAGCAUCCUGUUAAGUCAGGCAACGAGCGAGACCCACGUCCACAGUUGCCAGCAUACCCUCCGGGGUGAUGGGUACACUGUGGAGACCGCCGCUGCUAAAGCGGAGGAAGGAGUGGGCAACGGUAGGUCAGUAUGCCCCGAAUCUCCCGGGCUACACGCGGGCUACAAUGGUUGGUACAAUGGGCAUCUACCCCGAAAGGGGAAGGAAAUCUCUUAAAGCCAAUCGUAGUUCGGAUUGAGGGCUGCAACUCGCCCUCAUGAAGCUGGAAUCCGUAGUAAUCGCGUUUCAACAGAACGCGGUGAAUACGUCCCUGCUCCUU